rnacentral:rRNA from 1 species
GGGACACGUGGUAUCCUGUCUGAAUAUGGGGGGACCAUCCUCCAAGGCUAAAUACUCCUGACUGACCGAUAGUGAACCAGUACCGUGAGGGAAAGGCGAAAAGAACCCCGGCGAGGGGAGUGAAAAAGAACCUGAAACCGUGUACGUACAAGCAGUGGGAGCACGCUUAGGCGUGUGACUGCGUACCUUUUGUAUAAUGGGUCAGCGACUUAUAUUCUGUAGCAAGGUUAACCGAAUAGGGGAGCCGAAGGGAAACCGAGUCUUAACUGGGCGUUAAGUUGCAGGGUAUAGACCCGAAACCCGGUGAUCUAGCCAUGGGCAGGUUGAAGGUUGGGUAACACUAACUGGAGGACCGAACCGACUAAUGUUGAAAAAUUAGCGGAUGACUUGUGGCUGGGGGUGAAAGGCCAAUCAAACCGGGAGAUAGCUGGUUCUCCCCGAAAGCUAUUUAGGUAGCGCCUCG